rnacentral:rRNA from 1 species
AUUGAACGCUGGCGGCAGGCCUAACACAUGCAAGUCGAACGAGUGGCGGACGGGUGAGUAAUGUCUGGGAAACUGCCUGAUGGAGGGGGAUAACUACUGGAAACGGUAGCUAAUACCGCAUACCAUCGGAUGUGCCCAGAUGGGAUUAGCUAGUAGGUGGGGUAACGGCUCACCUAGGCGACGAUCCCUAGCUGGUCUGAGAGGAUGACCAGCCACACUGGAACUAAGACAAGGUCCAGACUCCGACGUGAGGCAGCAGUGGGGAAUAUUGCAAAAUGGGCCCAAGCCUGAUGCAGCCAUGCGGCGUGUAUGAAGAAGGCCUUCGUGUGGUAAAGUACUUUCAGCGGGGAGGCGUUACCCGCAGAAGAAGCACCGGCUAACUCCGUGCCAGCAGCCGCGGUAAUUC